AUUGAACGCUGACGGCAUGCUUAACACAUGCAAGUCGAACGGCAGCACAGUGUGUAGCAAUACACAUGGGUGGCGAGUGGCGGACGGUUGCGUAACGCGUAGGAAUCUGCCUUGAAGAGGGGGACAACCCGAGGAAACUCGGGCUAAUACCGCAUAAUCUCGAGAGAGCAAAGCUGGCGCAACCGGGCCCUUCAAGCGGAGCCUGCGUCCGAUUAGCUAGUUGGUGGGGUAAAAGCCUACCAAGGCGAUGAUGGGUAGCUGGUCGGAGAGGAUGAUCAGCCACACUGGGACUGAGACACGGCCCAGACUCCUACGGGAGGAAGCAGUGGGGAAUAUUGGACAAUGGGCGAAAGCCUGAUCCAGCAAUGCCGCGUGUGUGAAGAAGGCCUUCGGGUUGUAAAGCACUUUAGGUUGGGAGGAAGUAUUGUAGUUUAAGAGAUAGCAAUAUUGACUGUACCGACAGAAUAAGCACCGGCUAACUCUGUGCCAGCCGCCGCCGUAA
rnacentral:rRNA from 1 species